CGUCGGGUUUGGUGGGCUUGCGCGGCGCCCGCUUUCGGGGAGCGGGGGCGGCGGGCUGAUCAGCCGGGUCGGCGGCGCGCGGUUCCCCGCCGGCCGG
rnacentral:tRNA from 1 species